UAGCUUUGUCCUAAGUCAAACUUGUCUAACUUUGACCAAGGUUAGAAAAACAUUAAUAUUUACAAUAUCAAAUACAUGCACUAUCAAUAUAUAUUUCACAGUCUAUCUAGUGAAUCUAGUUUGAUGUUGUAGAUAUUUGUGCAUUUUUCUAUAAACUUGGUCAAAGCUAGAGAAGUUUGACUUGGGACAAAGCUAA
rnacentral:pre_miRNA from 1 species